CUCAGUGUUUUGCACCAGACAGGGCUGUUUUUGGUUUUCCACGUUUAUUGUUUUGUAGUGUUCGUGUUUAUCUUUGUUUAUUAAACAUGAAUCAAAAUAAUCACGCUGCGUUUUGGUCCGCCUCUACUUCACCCCAAGAGAACCGUUACAGUUGUACUUUAAUGUUUUUAUUCUCUCUUCAUUCAGACCUGCAGGUGAAGGUGACUCCUGCUGCAGAGGGACAUAGAACACUGACCUGUAAAACCACCUGUACUCUGACAAUCCCACCUACAUCUGGAUACGUCUAGAUGAGCCCACUUCCCAACACUCCAGUAAUAUGCUGGUGGUCUGGGAUUCUUCUGUCAACAGAUACUCUUGUGCUGUUGAAGGUCAUGAGGCUCUCCACUCUCCUGUUUGACGGACGUGACACUUAUGCUGUAGACAGCUACUCCUGUACUGUAAACGGCCAAGAGUAUCUUCACUCUAAUGCAGUGUGUUCAGGGUUGAUUGAACUCAGCCAGCAGCUCCUGAAGAGGAAGAUCACCAUGGUUGGCACAGUUAGAAAGAACAAGCCUGAGCUCCCCCUGCACUCCUCGCAACAAGGGGGAGAGAGGCCUUCUCAUCAAAGUUUGCCUUCACCCCCACCACCACUAGUUUCUUACCUCCCAAAGUCAAACAAGAAUGUGGUCUUCAUGAGCACACUGCACAAAACGGCUGUAAUCAGUGAUUAUGAGGACAGGAAACCAGCCUUCAUCCUGGACUACAACCACAACAAGGGAGACAUGGACAACCUGGACAAGGUGAUUGGAACUUACAGCUGCAGGAGGAUGACUGCCCGCUCGCCCCUGGUCAUCAUCCAUAACAUAAUUGAUGAGUCCUCAUACAAUGCCUUUGUGAUAUGGAACAUUAUCAACCCUACCUGGAUGCCUGAUAAGUGGAACAAGAGGGUGUUCCUGGAGCAGCUGGGAAAGGCACUUGUAACCUCGCAGCUUUCAAAGAAGGGAGCGCCUCCACUGCACAGCAGCCUCUGCAGCGCUUGUGAAAGCAGUUCGGGGGGGGCUGAAUCUUGCCCUGAUCCACCUGAGGCUGCAGCUGAGACAGGCAAAAGGAGGAGAUGCCAAUUCUGGCCCCAAAGAAGGACUGUAAAACAAAUACUAUGUGCUGCACAUAUGAGAAGUACAUCUGCAAAGUCCAUGCACACCCACUUGCAUACUGUCCUACAUGUGCUAAUUAGAGUUGAUUGAUUGAUGUUCUUCAUUAGAUACAAAUCAAAACAUAUCUUAUUUUAUUAUUUUUCAUUGUUUAUACACUUGUGGGUGGGGGCAAUGGUUAAAAAAU
ensembl:lncRNA